CGCCUCUCAGGGCCAGAACAGCGCUAGCAGCACGCCGCAUCAAUUUGCCGUCCUCUCCUCCAGCUGUCUGGGCCUUGUGAAGGGCUUCUGCUGAAACGGCGCUAACAGCUUCUGCUGGAAAAGCUCCAGCAAAUGAGCGUCACAAAACUCAGCAGGGAAGAUCAGCGAAUGAUUACUCCUUUACUCCAAUUUCAUUUCAGUCUUUUUGUCUUUUUCAUGCAGUGAUAUUUGUCAGUCGUGAAUCUCAAAUACAGUACUAUGAAAGCUGCUGAAGACAAACCAGCGCAAGACGAACCUGUAUUGAAUUAGACAAUGUUGCAAGAUCAGUUAAUGAAAUAUUGAUAAGAACAUUCCUUCAACACAUGCUGCAGCAGCUGUUCUGGGCUUGGUAUGGAUCAAGGCUAUGGCUAUGGCUUUCCUGUAGAUGGUCAUAAAUUAAGGUGCAGCAAUCCUCUUGAAGUAUACUACAAGAAACAACAACAGCUAAAGGCCUUAAAGAACAGUAAAUAAUUGAAUGCUUGUACUGCUAUUCUUCUGCAUACACUCUACAGUUUCAGGGUCUCAAUUUAUUUUAUUUUUCAAUCAUUUAGUAAAUUUGUGUGAUUUUUUUUUUUGAUAGACCAAACUGAGCUAAAAAUUCCCACCAGAUUUACAAAAAUUAUUCUCUCAUUCUUUGUACUUGCAUAUAUGUUUAGAAACUAUAUCAGCAAUAAAUGACCAAACUCAUUCGCAACACAGCUAAUUUACAUUUACAUGACAAAACUCCUUAUACAACAAAGCUCACAGAGAGCUUGACAAAAGGAUAUUAAACACUUGUGCGCUAAUACGUCCAAUAAUGCAGCUCAGCCACCGCAGCGAAUCAGCUACCAAAGACAUACACCAACGCUUCCCCCUUUUAUAGGGCACCAUUACUUUUGUUCUAAUUGACUGGUUAGUCUUAUUUGUCUUAAUUUAUG
ensembl:lncRNA